rnacentral:rRNA from 1 species
CCUACGGGGGGCAGCAGUGGGGAAUAUUGGACAAUGGGGGGAACCCUGAUCCAGCCAUGCCGCGUGUGUGAAGAAGGCCCUCGGGUUGUAAAGCACUUUCAGUGAGGAAGAACGCCUGGUGGUUAAUACCCAUCAGGAAAGACAUCACUCACAGAAGAAGCACCGGCUAACUCCGUGCCAGCAGCCGCGGUAAUACGGAGGGUGCGAGCGUUAAUCGGAAUUACUGGGCGUAAAGCGCGCGUAGGUGGCUUGAUAAGCCGGUUGUGAAAGCCCCGGGCUCAACCUGGGAACGGCAUCCGGAACUGGCAGGCUAGAGUGCAGGAGAGGAAGGUAGAAUUCCCGGUGUAGCGGUGAAAUGCGUAGAGAUCGGGAGGAAUACCAGUGGCGAAGGCGGCCUUCUGGACUGACACUGACACUGAGGUGCGAAAGCGUGGGUAGCAAACAGGAUUAGAUACCCGGGUAGUC